rnacentral:rRNA from 1 species
GUAGGGAGCGAGCGUUGACCGGAAUUACUGGGUGUAAAGGGAGCGCAGGCGGGAUGGCAAGUCAGAUGUGAAAACUAUGGGCUCAACCCAUAGACUGCAUUUGAAACUGUUGUUCUUGAGUGAGGUAGAGGUAAGCGGAAUUCCUGGUGUAGCGGUGAAAUGCGUAGAGAUCAGGAGGAACAUCGGUGGCGAAGGCGGCUUACUGGGCCUUUACUGACGCUGAGGCUCGAAAGCGUGGGGAGCAAACAGGAUUAGAUACCCUGGUGGUCCACGCCGUAAACGAUGAUUACUAGGUGUGGGGGGACUGACCCCUUCCGUGCCGCAGUUAACGCAAUAAGUACUCCGCCUGAGUAGU